rnacentral:rRNA from 1 species
UACGUAGGGGGCAAGCGUUGUCCGGAUUUAUUGGGCGUAAAGAGCGCGUAGGCGGCCUGGUAAGUCAGCUGUGAAAACUCGAGGCUCAACCUCGAGACGCCGGUUGAAACCAUCAGGCUAGAGUCCGGAAGAGGAGAGUGGAAUUCCUGGUGUAGCGGUGAAAUGCGCAGAUAUCAGGAAGAACACCCGUGGCGAAGGCGGUUCUCUGGGACGGUACUGACGCUGAGACGCGAAAGCGUGGGGAGCGAACAGG